CCUACGGGUGGCUGCAGUGGGGAAUAUUGGACAAUGGGCGAAAGCCUGAUCCAGCAAUGCCGCGUGAGUGAAGAAGGCCCUAGGGUUGUAAAACUCUUUCGCUAGUGAAGAUGAUGACUGUAACUAGAGAAGAAGCUCCGGCUAACUUCGUGCCAGCAGCCGCGGUAAUACGAAGGGAGCUAGCGUUGUUCGGAAUUACUGGGCGUAAAGCGCACGUAGGCGGAUCAGAUAGUCAGAGGUGAAAGCCCCGAGCUCAACUUGGGAAUUGCCUUUGAUACUUCUGGUCUUGAGUCCGAGAGAGGGUAGUGGAAUUCCAAGUGUAGAGGUGAAAUUCGUAGAUAUUUGGAAGAACACCAGUGGCGAAGGCGGCUACCUGGCUCGGUACUGACGCUGAGGUGCGAAAGCGUGGGGAGCAAACAGGAUUAGAUACCCUAGUAGUC
rnacentral:rRNA from 1 species